UACGGAGGGUGCAAGCGUUAAUCGGAAUUACUGGGCGUAAAGCGCACGCAGGUGGCUGAGUCAGUCGAUUGUGAAAGCCCUGGGCUUAACCUGGGAAUUGCAGUCGAUACUACUCAGCUAGAGUAUGGGAGAGGGUAGUGGAAUUCCCGGUGUAGCGGUGAAAUGCGUAGAUAUCAGGAGGAACACCUGUGGUGUAGACGGCUCUCUGGACCGCAACUGACGCUGAGACACGAAAGCGUGGGUAGCAAACAGG
rnacentral:rRNA from 1 species